GGCGCCCGCGCCCGCCCUUGGAGACGCGUCGGCAGCUCCGGAGCGGGCCUUGGCGACGCGUCCUGCGAAGCCCGCUGCCUCUGCCGCAACCAUGAAACUGACCCGCAAGGCUGUUCUGUCGCGGGCCAAAGCCACAGACCUCCGAGGCGUCCGCAAGCUGAACUGCUGGGGCAGCCGCAUCACAGAUAUUUCAAUCUGCCGUGAGCUUCCAAACAUUGAAGUGAUCACAUUCAGUGCGAAUAACAUCUCUGACCUGGAGCCAAUGACCCAGUGCCAGAACUUAACUGAGCUGUAUCUCAGGAGGAACAGUAUUGCAAGCCUUAAUGAACUCUUCCACCUAAAAAAGCUGUCCCGCCUGAAAAUCCUCUGGCUGUCGGAGAACCCUUGCUGUGGCCCUGAUCCUCAUCAUUAUCGAAUGACGGUGCUGCGUAACCUCCCCAAUCUUCAGAAGCUUGACAAUCAGUUGGUGACAGAGGAAGAACUGUCCCAUGCGCUGCUUGAAGGGGAGGAGAUAACGGCACCUCCAGCCAAAUCAGGCAUGGCCAGCUGCUGCCAAAACUCCACCACCGAGUCCAGCGUGAUGGAGUCUACAACAGAGAAUGAAAAUGAACUUCUGAAUUUCAGUUUGGAGGAGACAAAUAAAAUCCGUGAGCAACUUGGUAUGAAGCCAGUUGUUCCAAGAGAAAAAUUUUCCUCCUCACCCAAGGAAAUGGAUGGGAACCGAAAGAAACGGAACAACAUCCUCAAUGCUAUUCUGCUACUCUUAGAAGAGCUGGAUUCAGCAGGACUAGAAGUUGUUCAUCAAACAGUUGAGAACAAACUUCAAGCCUCCCAGAAGAAAGAACUCCAUGAGGACCGGUAGCACUUCCUAGGGAGCUGUUUUGCAGAUCCAUGGAACCUGCAUCAGUAGCCCUGGCUGCAUCCUCUCCAUUUUGCCUGGUUUUGUGUGGGGAUGUUUGACAAAAUGCAGGAAGAAGCUCCAUACAUCCCCUGUGCUUCACAUACUAGGACCUGGUUCUAUGAGAGGUUUCAUUUUCGGCAGCAACUUAUGUGCCUGCAUCUAUGCAUCUGCUACCUGGUGUGUCACAAAGGCUCACCACAAAGAGGGGCAAUUGAGUAUACACAGAAUUAUGACAGGUAGUUGUGACAUGGAAAAGAGUUGAGGCCCCAUCACCUGCUGGUGCCUCCCUGUUAGAAGAAUCAUUCAUAGCCUUACUUCAGAGGUAGCUCUGCCAGUCUAAGCCUGGGCCAAGGUAGCAUGAUGCCCUCACUUUGCAUCAUGAUAUUAGAGGAAGAGUUCACUUCAUAUCUCCAUCCACCUGGAGCAAGGAGCUUUUGACAGCCAUUUUCCCCUCAAGGCAGGCCAUGGAGGAGAUACAGCCUGAGGCACAAAACUUCAGGCUAUUCCACCAAGGUUCUCCUGAGCUUACAAGAUUUUCUAUCCCAGAGAUGGUACCCUCAACGUACCCUUGCGGUAAGCUUCCUUCAGCUUCUCUGACAUCCAGAGUACAGCUUUCACACCCAGCUUGGUGCCAUAGUUGCGGUCAAAGGGGGUUGGAGCACCACCCUAGAAACAGAGACAGGGAACUGAAGACAGAGCAAAAAGGAUGGCUAUGCCACCGUCACAGAGGUCAAGCUGAUCUGCACAGAUCUGCCAUCCCACUCAACAGCCCUUUUGGAUGUAUCUUCAUCAAAAGGGGGGUGUCUAAAUGCAAAAUAAAAGGGCCUGGUUAGUUACAAGAUGGAAAAUGGCAGCUUGGCAACAAACUCUCCAGCCACAAGAGGAGAUGGCAAAGAUAUUCAGGUUAUGGACUCUUUGACAACAAUUCUUCUCCAGGUAACACUUGCAAUUUCUUUUUUCCUUCCACCAAAACCCUUAAAUCAGUUCUAUCCUCAAGUGACCUGUGCUACUCAAAUUGUUGAUGUUCCUUUUUAGCCACCAACUAAACUUUUCCCCUCACCUGCUGAAGGUGGCCUAGGACAUUGAUCCUGCAGUCAAAUAUUCCUUUUCCCUCGGAGGAAUAGAGGUUGUAGAGGAACUCAGUGGUAUAGUGUUCAUGGCACUUCUCAUUGCUAAGGAGAAAGUAAGGUCAAAAGGCAUUUCUUUGUACAGUAAGCACAUAAAAUGACAGCUUUUGCAUAAAAAGCAGCACAGAAGUUUUCUGGGUUCACCUCAAGGUGCUGAUUUUAAAUGUUACACCUUGAGUGGUUCAGUCUGGAAUAUCUUGGGGAGAAGUCCUCCCUGUAUUAAAUUUCCUCUACCCUCUGGACCGGACUGCUCCCAAGAUGAAAGGUUGGGCUUUGCUGGUGGUAACUCCAAUUCUGUGGGGCAUUUAAGAGACAUACCUCAGAGUCCAUCAUUCUUAACCUUCAGAAAGAUCUUUAUUUCAGUGACUGGUUCUUGAUUUUUAUUUGAUUUA